ensembl:lncRNA
UUUCUUGACCAAAAUCAGGCAAGGGUCUUUUAGCCUGGUGGGCCUAGGACAUGAGUCUGGCCAUCUUAUUGUUUUUGCUCGCAAUAGCUACCUACGUGACGCAGACCAAAGUGUUCUGCAAGGAGAAUGUUUUAUUUUUUACCCUCUUUCCUAUCACUGAUUUUUGUCUCAAGUCCCAUGAAGUGCUGGUUCAAUCUCAGUUCAGUCUCGCCCCACUUCCUUUGGUUCAGCAGAGUGCUUUUGCUCUGCAGAUGUGUCAAGAAGUGCAUACCAAUGCCUCUCUUUGCUUCUUUGUUCAUCCUUCCUGAUGAAGGCAAUGGUCAUGCUUUUUAAUGCCUUGAAAAACUUCUAAAACACCAUACUGACGUAAAAUAAAACCAACAAGCACCAGAGAUGUGCCGCAUGAAUCAUUUUCUUGUUGUUGUUGAUAGGGCUGAUUGAAGGAUGACUGAAUAGUUGGAGGAACUUCUGUAGACACUAUGUCAUGCUUGACAGCAGAAGAUUUCUUUUGAGAACACAGCAUUUUAAUGUGUACACAAAACCUGAGCAAAGAGGGUGGGCUGAUGAUGUCCUGUGGGUCUUCAAGUGAAGCCAUGGCCGUAGCAGCGCUACCUGGCGAAGUCUGAGCUGUCUGUGUCUCCUCUAGGGAGUGUAUCCAACCCUUCCACACCACCUUUGCCUUGAACACACUUGAUAUGGAUGGCAGUAGCCCAGUGGGUGAGAAAGACAAGUCCUUGUAGUUGUCUUGGUCAUACAGUGUACCUGAGAGUUCAUAGCUCGGUUGAUGAGUGACCUGAAUCAAGGUCCCUUCCAACCCAACCAUUCCAUGGUUCUAUGACCUUUAAGGUUCCUUCCAAACCAGCCAUUCCAUGGUUCUGUGAUUCUAUGACCUCACGAGAAUAUGGAACCUAGUAAGAUCAGAGGUUUAAAUUUGGAGGGGAAUCCAGAGAAAGUUUCUUUUCAGCUGCUUAUCACUGAUUUCAGAGCUCCAUAUAUUGCUGAACUUAUUUUUCAUUUUUUCUCCUUGCUGGUGGCUUGUAGGAGCUUUUGCUAGAAGUGCAGCUCAUUUACCUCAGACCACAGCUUCAGACUGUUGUAUGAUUUCAUGCUUCUCCCCUAGGAAUGUGAAAAUAAACAGAGAGGAUGGAUUUAUAAGGGGCACGUGGAAAACAAAGAACCAACCUGAGGAGAUGGUCUGCAUUUCCCCAAAACAGGGAUUUGUGCUUAAGGGCAAACUGGUUUCUCCUGGGAUUGCCACCUCCCCACGGGUGGAGGGUGUUAGCCCAAGUCAGCAGUAUGGCCAGCCCACCAUUAGUUUAAUUCCCUACAAGAUGACAAGAAAGUCCUCGUUAGACAUGAUCUUAAUCUUGACACUGAUGUUAAUUAGCCCUGAUUCAUUGUUAGAAGAGUAUGGAGCCAGGCAGGAAAUGAGCAAAAAGCAUUACUGGGGGGAAAAAUCUCUGAUUUCACACUUCAGGGUGUAGGGAGGGGAAGCUUUGAAGUUGCUGUGUUCUUGCUGCAGUAUAAUAUAUUAACAUUUUGGUUUUGGCUCAUGAAGUACUCUUUUACCUCACCCUCAGAAGCAUCGGAUGUAAUUAAGCUCAGAAGCAAUGGUUCUUUCCAGCUCUUUCCUGUCAGCUGGGUGAAAUAGCACAGAAAUGGUGGAUUUUUUUAAUAUAAAGUUUUUCCUCUUAGUGGAGCAAAAGCAGCGACAGAAAUCCACUAAGCCAGGGCUGCAUCACCCCUGAGAAGCAGAGCAUCGCUAGUUCUUGUUCAGUGCUGCUUCACAGAGACCUGAGGUGCUUUCAGUUUCUCAUUUAAUGGGCAGCAUCAGGACCUGUGUGUCUGCUCGGGAUGCAGCACUGCUGGGGAGAUGAGAUGUCCCACCGGCAGCAACGCAGAGCUGCAGCUCUGUUCAGAAAGCAGCGAUCAAUGAUUGGUAAUGGCCGUGAGCCAUUGCAAAGGAGGUUUGCAGAUAUCUCUAUGCUGGAGCAGUUGUGUGAUUUACAAAGUUGCUUUCAACCUCAAAUAGAGAUUUUUUUUUUUUUCAUAUUUGCAGGCUUUUUCUUUUUUUCUAGGUUUUGCAAGCAUUUAUUUAACACAAAAGCAAGGCCUUUCCCUGCAUGAAGGCACCUGCCAUGGGGCAGCUGGAGCAGUGACCUCCCAGUACUGAUGGCAGUGCCACCGUCUUCUAGAAACAGGGGAAGGGCAAUGGAGCCCUGACCCUCCCCUGGCUCAGAGAGGGCAGCGUGGUAGGGAUAUGAAUUUCUAAUCUGUGUUCAAACUGCUUGCACAGUGCCAUUGCCUGGAGAUAGAAAGCACGUGGCCUCGUUAGAGAGGGUGAUAAAAGCUACUUUAUCUCAAGUGUCUGGACUGCUGCAUUUUUCCCCUUUCUCCUUUUAAUCUGAUAUUCUGUGUUCACAACCCAGAUGGGGCAGAUGCCUCCCAUUUCAGAUUGAUAUGGUUUUUCAGUGGAAACCUGCCUGUUUCAUAGGAUGCUCCCCAGCUAAAUUGGGAUAGAACGUGGGGCUUCAGCUUGUCACAGACUUGUUUAAGUGUUUAUGCAUCAGCAAGGCACGAGGCCAUUUGUUAUUUCCAUGGCAUUUUGGUGGUCCUUUGUAACUAGGGAUGACUGAGUGGUAGAGGAGCAACAUGACAGUAGGAAGAUGCAAGCCCCUUGCAGGCGAGCAACCUGACGGGUUGUGGGAGGUACAGAACAACUGCUAGAAGUGCUUGCAUCCACCACGCAACCCCUCCCUCCUGCCCCAUGUCAUUCUAUGCAGGUUACUCCUCCUUAGGAGUCAUUAGGGCUUUUGGCACUCAUGUUGCAGUCUUUCACCUGUGAACAAAUAUUUUGCAUGCUGUGUGGGAAGGCAGGUUUGUUGAAAGAUGUGAAUAGUGUGAUAUCCUAUUACAUACAGCCAGAAGCGAGGCAUUUGUGGAUAUUCAAGCAAGACCUCUGUUGAACAUGCUUUAAUAUUUCCCAAGAGUCUUUUUGAGAUUGCACCACUCUCAGUCUGUGCUUUCAUGGCCUCUCAUCAUUCUUGCUGUCCACACUGGGACUUUCUUUACAAUUCCCUUGAGAUGCAGUGUCUGGUAUCAGGACUUCCAUAGUGCUUCCCUCUGUGUAUCUGGUGAGCAGUAUCCUUCUCUGUGCAUGGCAGAGUGAUGCGUGUUCAUGUAGCAGCAACUCAGUAGUGUCCAACUCUGGUUCUGUUGGUAAUGCUUUGGAAUCCUGAGAUCCUUUUCCUAACAAUAAAUAAAUACAUAUUAUAAUGAUAAAGGUCCUUGCAGGUUGCUAGUUAUUUCCCCUGUGUCUUGUCAUUGAUUAUUCCUGCCUUAGUACUGUUCACCCGUCAUUCCUGAAUUGUCUUUUUUCUUUUUUCUCUUUAUUUUUUUUUUCAGACCAUUUCUACUCCUUACCAAGACCAUUUUGAAUCCUAAUCCUGGCUUCCGAAGUACUUGCAGCCCGUCCCAGCCUGGUAUCAGCCGCACUUUUAGUAAGCAUACCAUGUUCCGUCAUUGCAACCCAUUCUGAUAACAAUGAAUCGUGCUGGACAGUCCCCAGGACACCCAUGUCCAGCACUGUGCGUGCCCCAUAAGAGGUACAAAAAACAACGAGGCUCCAUGGGAUGAUGAGAUUUGUGUCCCAAUGUGAGAGAUGUUAUCAGCCCCUUUGAAGUUUUGUCAUGAGAAAUAUGUUGAUUUCCCAUGCGAUGCUUGAACAGUGUGGGUUUUGUGCAGGGCUGGGAGGCUGAAAGAGCAGAAGAUCUGAGCUGUCACAAAAUCAGCACGUUGGCUUUCUCCUGAGCGUUUGUUGCAUUUAUUUUCUCCUGCCUUCUUCAUGGAAAACCCACCUUCUGUUCACUCCCCUUUUUGUGCAGCAGUUGGUGGUUAAAGAGCCACAGUGUUGGUGGUGGCGAAUGUGUUCAAGAGACGUUUCUGUGUUGUUCUGAGGGACGUGGCUUAGUGGGAAACAUUGGAUGGUUGGGUGAUCUUAGAGGUCUUUUCCAACCUUGGUGAUUCUGUGAUUCUAUGAAGGGCGAUAGUCCAGGAUUCAUGGAUUUCCAUGGAGACUCAUGAAUGGAGCUUUAUAUACCAACAUUGCACUAUAACAGAAAGGGGCAGAGCCAGAUGGUGCCACAGAGACCAAAAAGAGAACGCACAGCCACUGUGUAUGUCCCUGUAGCAGUUAGCAUUCAACAAAUCAGAAAUUAAAACAGAAACAGUGGAGGGAGCCCAGAGGUGAUCAGCAGCAAUGAGCUCAGACAAGAGGCAGUGUCUUGUUUCCUUGCAAGGGAAGAGCAUAAAGCUGAGUUUUGCUGAUAGCUGCACCUCAGUGUAUGUGUUUGUCAGAGCAGCUCUUGGUUUCAUACUUCAUCUCCUCUUUGACAUCUGCUGUUUCUGGGAAUUUAAGUUGGAACAGCUCGUGUCUUUCAUCUCUGACUUCACAGAUGUGAUGUGAAUGAGGAUUUCCUGCCCCUCUGUCAUUGGCUCAGAAAUACCACUUGCAUGCUGCAAAGAGGGAAACUGAGGCACAGAAGGGCAGCACUUGCAUUAAGCUCAUAGAGUGAGCUUGGAUGAGAAAUGCUGAUUUCUCCUCCCCUCCUCUGUGAUCUCUGUCUUACCCAAAGUUAUGAGAACUUGAGAAGAAAUGGAGCUCUGUGAACACAGACUUGCAGUGUGGUGUUUUCAAGGACACUAACUACAUAAAACUGAUUUACUAUGGGAGAAGAAGCCUUAAAUAUCCCCGUAGAGAGGACAUAAUGUGAAUGAUUUUGUGUUUAUUCAUUGCAUUUCACUGAGUGGAUGAAAUCUCUCCUGACUGUAAUUGAAUUAUGUGUGGAUGUGCUAUCUAGCAUGGUGGUGUUAAGAGCAGGUGCACAAAGGGGUUUCUUUCUGGGGAGGGGAAAAACUGCUUACUGUAGCAGUCAGUGAUUCCUACCACUGCAGUAACCCUAAUCAGAUUAAUUAUGGUUCAUUUAUCUGUCUGGCUUUUAUUUAUAAAAGCAACAUGUCUAAAGAGUUCUGUUCAAAACCUUGAAGAGUUUUGGUAAUAUUUUAGGUUUCUUUCACAUGCUGCAAUGUAUCAGUGUGUGGCUGGCCGGGCUUUGAGGGAGAUGACGUUGCUUCCAGCACUUAGACCCAGCCACUGGUUCUCCAUCUCCUCUUACAUCCAUCUCUUGUCACCAUCCCCAUCCUGCCCAUCCAGAGGUGGCCCCACUACCCCCAUGCGAUGUCCUCACCCAAAAUUCCUCUCUCUUUCUGCUCCUUUUUUUAACACUGAUACCAAAUCUCCCCCUUUGGCAGCAGCCUGGUUCUGCCUUUCAUCUCCUGGUAGGACCCAGACCGCUGUCUGUGUUGCAUCCUUGCCCCAUCUCACACACAGCUUUUUCUUUCUGUAAUUUUCCACUGGUGUGUCUCACCCCAAAUCAUAGCUGUUCUCACUUGCAUAAGCCACUUGCUUUUCCUGUCUCUCUCUCCUUUUUUUUUUUUUUUUUUAAUGCUUCUUUCUUUUGCUAUUUUCCAUUUCUGAAGAGCUGUUUAGAUUUUCACAAAACCAAACUGUAGGGCAUUGCAUAUGUGCUUGCCCACAUGUAUCUGCUUAGAGCAAAAGUUGCAGAACAGUAUCAAACAAAUGAGGCACUUUUCCAUCAGAUCCAUCCCUCUUGUUUUCCAUCUUUAUCUAUUCACCGCUCAAAAGCAAACUUUUCCAUCAAAAUAUCAGGAUGACUUUGGGUUUCUAUAAGCCUGAACACGAGACCAUUUUCCCCACCCUGCUAGGAUGCUCUGCCCCUCUGUCGGUUAAAUGGGAAGGUUUCAACACCCAUUUUCCCUUUCAUUUUAAUUCAGCUCUUCUUUUCUCACUUGGCUUCACAGCCAACCUGUUGUUUUUGAGGUGUAUCCUCGGCGUUUCGUCCAGCUGGGAUCCAACAGUGUCUCCAGUGAUGAAUUUUCCAUUUCUCAUGGAAAGGCAAAGAGCACGAGGAGGCGCACAGCAGACAGGGAUUUGGCUUUGGCAGAGAUCUGAUGAUCCAUGGUGGGUUUUGGUAGACAGCUGAGUAAGGAUGCCCUCGCCUCCCUGUGCCAGGAGCCAGCUGCAGCCUGCACCAUCCACGCCAGGGGUGCACACGUGUUGUAUUUUCAGUUCUUCCUGGCGCAUGCAGUGAAGUGCCUCUGCACAGCAACGUGUGUCACCUUUGUGUCAGCCUUCCCCAAAACAUGGAGGCGAUGUUUUUAACCAGGUAAUAACACUCUAUUUUAAGCUGCUUCUAAAAAUAAAGUCCCACACAAGCUGGCAUUCUGACAGCAGAGUUUUAUAGUUUAAUUGUGGCUGUUUUCUUAGGGUGAUUCAUAGAAAGAAGAUGAGCUUUACUAGUUUUACCCCAGGGUGAGGCGACGUUGGUGAGUUGCUGAUUGUAGUUGAGAAGAUCGCAUUAGCUCUACGGUAGCUGGCUUUUCCCUUAGGGCUGAAGUGUCAUGUUGAACACUGGCUAGGCUUUCUUUCUUGUAGGUGUCUGGUAGCUAACACAAUGCAUUCCGUACACGGAGAGCAUCCUACAGUGCUUUUGAGCAUUGAUGCUUUUGUCACGUUCAGUGACAAGUAAUGGCCAAGGGGGGUAAUGAGGAAAGAGAUGGUUUCUCUGGGAAACAAGGUGGAGAUUUAAAACUUACUGCAUGAGCUCAGAGCUACAGGGGAGAAGUGCAAGAGCCAGCGGUAUGAGGUGAGGUGGAGGGAAGCAUUACAGAGAUAUCUAGAGAGCAGCUGAUGACUCUGCCCUCCCACGCUGUAAUCAGAUAUCUCAGCAUCUGGGGUGGGGGCAGCUUCUCUGCUGGAGCACAUGGGUCAGGCUCGUUCUCCUUUUAAUGUUAAGAAGAAUGAGUCUUUGUUGAGCUACGUCAUGGCCUCUCCUUGCCCAGCCAGCCACCCCAACACCUCACAGAGAAACCUCUUGCCUCUUGCCCAAUGUAAAGACCUGUCAUCGCCUGGAGUUAGUGCUCCUCAGAGAUGAUUGAGGAGUGAAUGAGAGGCAAGGAGAAAGGGCCAAAGGUAUUCAAGGAGCAGAAAUGUCUCAAGUUCUUUUAACAGACUGCUGAGAUGCCCAGAGAUGUGGUAGAUACCCCAUCCUUGGAGACAUCUAAGGUCAAGCUGGACCAGGCUCUGAGAACCCAGAUGGAGCUGUAGGUUUCCGUGUCCAUUGCUGGGAGUGGGAUCAGAUGGCCUUUAAAGGUCCCUUCCAACUCAAACAAUUCCAUGAUUCUAUAAGACAAAUGCUGAUAACCACAGGUCUCUUACAUCUGUAAGGGUGGUGGGAUCUCAAAGUGGUUGUUGUGAAGUCAAGUGCCUUUGAAACACCAGAUUUCUCAAGAAUGGUUAUCUCCAGUCUACCACCUUCAAGACAGCAGUACAAAUGCCAGCCAUGCAUAACAGCCACCUCCUCGCCUUCUCCUAUGAAUACACCACUCACAUCUUGGUGGCACCUCCAGGCUUCUUGUCACCACGCCGAGCUCCAUGCAGCAUUAACCUGCAGCACAUCGCACCAAAGCAGUUGGCAAUCCUGCUGCCCCUCUGGAAGCAGCAGUAAGGCUUCGGCACAGUAUUCAAAGGAAAGACUGUUGCAUGGGAAGUGGUAGGAAAGUAUCACUGCUUGCUCACAGUGUGCUUCUUUAGAAUGGAAAAAGAAGCUUAUCGUGAUAAAGGAGGCAAAACAGGACGUUGGGGUGCAGCUCUGCUGUCAGCUUGUCACACAAUGCUUCUCCAGGAUCCUGUGUUUGCUGCUGUAGUAGGGGAACGAUAAUUCCUUAUUUCUGUGAAGUUGUCAAGGAUUUGCCUGGUGUUGCCUUUGGGAUCCUGGGAUCAGAAAGACUUCUCAAUUCAAUCGUCAAGUUCUGAACUGGCAGUUGGGAUGGGAGCAGAGGGUUGAAUUGGGCCUAAUUCUGAUCCUAUUUACUGUGCAUUUUGGGAGUGGCUGCCUCAAAGACAGCAGUCACCCUGGAGCAAAAAAAACCCAACAGUUAAAGCAAAUUAGAAUUGUUAUCAAAGGAAGAGCGUGCACAGUGGGACAUGAGCUGAAGCUGAGCAGUGUUUUUACUUACAAGGACAAGGCUUUUUAACUGGGUGUUUCCUUCAUUUGUCAUCAUUAAGAAAACGACAGUUGGAGUGAAAAUUAAAUACUCGGGGGAAAAGAAAACAAAACAACAUCACAAACCAGCAGCCCUUCAGCCGAUGAGUAGAUCUGCCCUGGUUAGUGCUACUACAGUGCAGCCCUUUCAGCCCUUUUGUCCCAAGGAGGGAAGGAAAUCAUCAGUGGAACAUCAAAGCUGAUGAGCAAACGAAAGGAUAAAAUCACUGAGAAGAAGAGGAGAGCCGUGAUCUCACCUGUCUGUAAUGAAAUUAAAGGCUUGUCCCCCCAGUGUUGCUCUGCGGGGUGUAAGCAGCGCUGGGAGUGAGGAUGCUCCAGUGCUGCUGCCAAAGAGUUAAUCACAACAUAAUCGUCUCCUUCUCUUUCCGAGAGGAGUUUCUCCGUGGCAGCCCGCAGGGCCGUUGGGUGAGAUGCGUGAUUGUGUGUUCUGGCAACCGCUUUGCAAUGUGAAAUAAACACCCUUCCCCAUAAUAGCCUUCAUUGAGCAUUGUGCCUGGGAACGCAUCGUGACACACGGCGGCACAGGGCCGGGGAGCUUCCUCCUUCCGCAGCCCAGCAAAAUAUUUAUACAGUGUCUUCGGGUAAACCAGUGCCUCCGUGCCGUGGGCUGAGCUGCUCACAAUGCCUGCCCCUACCCCGAGCCCGUCCUGAAAUAGCGAGCGCAUCCCGGCUCUGUUUAAUCUGUCAGCCAGAUGGAACCAGCCUCGCUUCCCUGUUAAGUUUACUUUUUAAAUUGCUAUAAUAGCCCUGCAGAGUUCUUGUUGCUUUAAGUAACUGGAACAGAACUUUAAAAACAUGGGCACAUUGAGCACCCGUCCUUGGGAUGCGCGCUGUGGAGCCGAGAGGGGAACUGCAGAGCUGCAGAACGUUCAGCGUGGGGUCGUGGGUGCUCUGUGGUUAUUAGGCCUUGCAGUUGCUAAGGGGAAAAAAAAAAAAAAGAGGCCUUUUCUUGAUCGUAGUACUUAAGAAUAAUGUUUUUCAAGUCUUGGUGCUGUAGAAAAAAUGUAUUUUGCUGUUGGAGGAAUGUCAGCUGCUUUGCAAAGAAUAGAAAUGCCUUUUUUUUCUUCCCCAUUGACCUUCAACGCCAUAAGGUCUCAAUGGCCAGGGAAAAUUAUGAUGGUUUCUGGCUCCUGACCAUUGCUGCUCACCAAAAGCUGUUCCACAGUGUCACAGUCAGCCAUGCAGACCACAGAACCAGUUGCAGCUAGAAAGCUUGUGCUCAAUGUAUAGAGGGCUGAUUGAAAAGAAGCGUGUUUCCAAGAAUUCUCUGUGUUUUGGUUUGUGUAAGGUCUAAAAUUUGAAGUAUGUUUCUCUUGCCCCACAUAGAUCUCAAAUAGUAAUUGUGGGUGGGGAAUUGCAACAUAUAUGGCUGGUUUUAGGGAGGGCAUGUGGAGAUCUGUUCUUGACCUUGUGACAGACAGGGUAUUUCUCAUUGAAGAGCAAAACCAACAAAUAAAACCUUAUUCUGCUGUUUAAUUUUAUUGAUGCAGUCUUUGGGCCCUGAAGCCAGACUGAGUUAGACUAGAAAACAGGAACAGAAUCUUAGCAGAGUAGUUGGUCAGUGGAGCAUCUUCACUGAGGACUGCUUUGUCUACCAUCAUUUGCAGACUUUAAAUCAAAGCUGGUUUGGCUUUUUGCAAGGAUACUAAGGGUCAAAGUAAUGAUCUUGAUGCAGAUAUGUUGGAGUUCUCUGGCCUGUGCUGAGCAGUCAGUCAGAUUCCUUCCUUUAUCAUGCUGUUUUCCGAUCUUUAUAUUUGAGGGUCUCUGAAGACCACACGAGAUCAUGGCAUCACCUUUUGAAAACCGAACUUGCAAUCUUCCUGGAAACACUCAUUCCAAAGAAAUCAAAGACCUUAAAUGUGAUGCAAUCAUUUUCCUGAAACUAUCUCUCUGUAGUAGCAUUUAUGUUUUCUGCUGUUUUGUCUAGAACUAAGAAUAGGAAUUCCCAAAACAAACUCUGCACUUACUGCACACCAGUUCAUCACUGUUGGGAUAGCCCACGUAGCCUCCGCUGGUCGCAGUGUUUGGUUUGUGAGCUGUUCAGAGCCUAACUGUGAAGACAAACAAGUUCUUGUGGAAUUAUCACGCAGUUAGUGUGUUUUUAAUUUAACACUUUUGCAUCCAAGCUUGAGCUCAUAGAACUCCCUCCUUCUUGGAUAAUGUUUUGUUUUCUUUUUUUCCCGAAGCCCUCUUCUUAAACCUUCAGGUUUGGUUCUAAGAACACCACUUCACUUUUGCUGUAGGAAGGAACAAUAUCUUCCAAUGUGACUUUUAGGAAAGGGAAGAAAGAAAGUAUGCUUCUCUCUUGUCAACAGCGCAGUCAUACCGCUCAUCUACCCAAGCAUCUUCUCCAUAACAAGAGCAGGGCCAUAUUUUUAUGUAUCUCCUCCCACACGGUCCUGUUGUUUGUGAAUGAAGGUAGAAAACUGAAAAAGGCAAAUCUUGCAAGGCACAAAGCCAAAGUCAGUGUUUCAGGUUCCCCAGAAGGGCUCCUACCCAGAUGGCCAAUGAGUUGCUUGGGGCAGCUCUCCAAUGAAGAAAGGCUGAGGAAUGGGCUGUGUCUGUAGGUGUGCACUGAGGUUCUUGAUGGAAGCUGCAGCCGGAGAGCAGAGGAGUGAGGCUCCUGGGUGGCCCAUGGCCAACAGCAAGGUGCUGGAGGAAACCUAAGCUCUUGUCCUCUCAUGACUCACUCUUGCAAACGUUGCAGCGCUGUUGACCUGCACUGGGGCUGCAGUGGCUGAUGGCUUGACCGGAUGUUUCUGACGAUGUCACCUGCUCUAUUUAAAGCUGUGAACUCUUCCUCCAGCCCUGACCUCACUGUUGGCUACGUUAACAAGAGAUCUCCCUAAUGAGAUGUGACUGGAGCCAUCUGUUUGGGGGCAAGCAGAAACCUCACCCGUCACCUUUUUCUGAACCUGUCCCCCACCGUUUUAUGCCUGUACUGCUAUAAUUGACCUGCUCUGUUGCCUGCUGCCUAAAGCUUGCAGAGAUAGUAGCCGUAAAACAGACCCGCAUCAGCAGACGAAGAUCAAGGCCUGUAGCUAUUCUUUCCUGCCUACUAAUGCUGGGCACAAAGCAGGAAUGCUGGCCCUUCAAUAAUGUGUUGUUUCUUCUUUUUCUUCUUCUUUUAAAACCAAAACGAAACAAAGAACCCUUUCCUAGAAGGGCUGGAGGCAAUUCCAGACUUGCCUGAUCUACAAACAUUGCAUGGCACAUUGAGGCGGAGGCAGAGGCAGAAGUCUCAUUACAGUGCUUGGUGCUUCAGAAUGGGACAGUUCUAAUACAUGUUUCCAUGGGCCCAGUAAAAACAACUUGCCAUACAUAAUUUAAACCACCUUUAGGUAAAGAUGGAGGUAACCAUGGCUAUCUUUCAGCAGCCCUCUAUCCAAAAAGCUGCUGCUUAGAGGCUCAGUGGUAUGCUACGUAGGUGAAAUUUUGCAAGACGUUCUUGCUGCUCUUCUUCCACCAGGAGAACCCAUUGCAACCGUGGUGUGAGGCUGACUGGGUCUGACCAAAGUGUCUGACAAACACCAGGGUAUCAGCACUGCCACAGACUUCUAUUGCUAUUUCUCAUGAUGAUGUGGCAUAGCCAGGAGGAAAGAAGGAUGUUGGCUGGAUAUCCAUUUUGCCAACCAUCAUGAACCUUGCUUUUAUUUUUACUUUUGUUUGUUUUAAGCAGACACUUGAUCUAAAGUUUAGACAUGGAGCCUGCUGUGAUCUUUGACAGAGAAUUUCUUGCUGACACUAAAAUAAUGAGGGCUUUUUGUGACCUCUGUGCAGCUUAGCCUAUAGGAGAUUUCAUCUUGGGUACAGUUUUUGAGGAAUUCUUUCUCCUGAGGCUUUACAAGGCCGAAGGUUUUUGGAUUAGUAGCUGAGGUGGUUCUUGGAUCUAGACUCUCUAUGUGUUUAAGAUCUGUUGCUUUAAUUUCUUAGAGAAAGGUGACCUGCUUUAUAAAAAAAACCACAACACAAACCAACCUAACAAAAAACAAACAACAUCAGGGUGGAAGUGUUAAUGAGAAUCCUUAUCCUUUCUUUUCUUGCCAAAGACAAUUCUUUUACAAAUAUCAUCAAACAAACAUUUUGAAGCCUAUGAGGUUUCUCUUGAGCCCUGUACUAAGCAGAAGGAAUAUUAUCUCAGAUUUCCUGUCUGUGCUAUGGAUAUAUCAACCUUCUUCGGUAGGGAUGUGAGACCAAGCUCUGAAAAAUAUUUAUAUGCAUUGAAAUCAGUAAUAUUUGACCUCCAUAGCAUUUCCUUAAUGCCAUUCCAACUCAGAGCUCAGCUGAAAAGUGCUAAGAGAUGUUUUAAAGGUGUCUGUGGCCGCCAGUGUGAGCUCAUUUCUAAUUAAACAGAAGCCACACUUUAUUUCAUUAGAAGCACGAUAAUAAAUGUACACACAAUUGGCUGAUUCUCAAUUAAUUAGCUAUUAGAAGCAAAUUCCGUAAGGUCUAUUAGGAUUAGAAAGCGGAACUUGGUGUCACUGAAGCGUUCUCAUUCUCCUGAUCUGCAUUAAGAUGUCAUUUUGCUUAUGGCUCUGAUGUGCUAUGGGUAAUUUCUGCAGGCUCUGGAUGUGAGGACAGGAUGUCCAUGUUCUGUAGGAAUGGUGGUGAAAGGUGUGCAGAAGUUCCAUUUCCCUUUGGCCUGAACUCCUCCAGGUAUGGAGUAUCUACAACUUCUUUGGAACAGGUUGCUUGUAGAAGUGUAGAUGCUCCAUCCUUGGAGGCUUUCAAAGCCAGGUUGGGCAGGGCCCUGGGCAGCCUGAUCUGCUGGGGGCAACCAGCCCACAGCAUGGAGUUACACCUGGAUGAUCUCGAAGGUCCUUCCCAACCUAAGCCAUUCUAUAAUGCUGUGAUAUGGAGUAAGCUAUGAAACUUCCCAUCUGCUUUUCACAAAAAUGGGGACUCUCAGCAUUCCCACUCAACCCACCAGUUCCAUCUGCAACUACUUUCAUCAGACAGGUUUCAGUGGCCACUUAAAUACUAAUAAAAUUCACCAAAAAAUAACUUGCUUCCCAUGGAUGCCGAGGUAUACUCAGAUAGCCAGGAUUUUUUGUGGGUUUUUUCCCUAAAACUUCAAUCAAUCCUCUUCAAAAUUUGACACUUUUUUUUUUUUUCAUUACAAAUUGACUUUUAAAGCCAAGAAUGCCCCCUGUAUCGAAGACAUGGAACAGCUUCCCGUGCCCAGUCCACCCCAGCCACAGCAGCCCAUUGGAAGCCUAUUGGAAAUAGUGGUGCAGAGUAAAUGUUUGGUCCAGCUGUAUCCUUUGUGGGAGUUUUUUAGGAAUUUUUGAUUGAUGUUUUAUUCAAAGGUGAUCUAAAAGAAUGAAGGCUCUGUGGUGUAGAGGAGAUGUGGGAAGCCCUGCUCUGUUUGUUUUCCUGCAGGGUGGGCUGGUGCUGCGGGUUCCUGAGGAACAGGUUGAGGAGGAAAAAACAGGAAUAGGUGGAUGCAGUGCCAAUGGGGUCCCUACCUAAAUAUUUGUGUUCAUCCGCAAGAAGCAUCUGUUAAUAGGAGGUCAGUCACCUGGAAACUUACCCAAAGCCAUUCUGCUUCUCAUUAAGUACUGGCUCGUUUCACUUGCACAAGGUAUAUUUUUGUAUGUGCAUACAGGGUCAUUUUGUGAUGACAAGGAAGGAAGCAAACAGUGUCCAGACUUCAUUUUUUUCUUCCUAUAAAGCUACCAGCAUCCCCUCCAAACUCAGUCACCUUUUUUUUCAUUCUUUCCCAUUAAACAAAUUUAUAUCUUGAUUUAGAAUUAUUCCUCUUUUCUGACACUUGGCUUGCCCUUUCCCAUCAGUAUGAGAGCUCAGAAGGUGACGUUCCCCCAAGCCUCCCUGCCUGGGUGUGAGGAGCAUCAGGGUCUGCCAGUGGUGAUGCAUCCUCACAGUGUGCAGUGUGGGGUCACUGAUGUACAUCAACGUGUGAACACAGAGCUCUUUCCUGAUUUUUCUGGUCUGGGGGCUGUGGACGGAAGCAGUGAUUCUCUGCAUCCUGCUUUUGCAUCAUCCUUACUCUGAGAAUUAAUAAUGCAUGUGGAUAUCUGUAUUAUCUUUGUAUCCUUAUUACAUCGCUUAGGAAGCUGGUUAACUCAAUGCAUCGCUUCCAGGGCUGGAACCCUCCGAGCGGAGAGAAGGCAGUUGGGCAAGAGCAGCAGGGGAAGACAAACCUCCUGUCAAGAGAGUGUGGGAAUUUCAGGCUGUGGUUGCUCAAAGGGGUCUGUGAGAUCUGUAACGAUGGGUCCUUAGAUUUCAGUCGGAUUUCAAUUACAGACGGUCAUCAGCCAUGUAACCUGGGGUGAUGCUGUUGGGUAGGGCAGCCAGGAUGGGCUCUUGCUUGGGUUUCCCUGUGGGUCUCCCAGCAAAGUCCUGACUCUUUCCAGUCCUGCUGAAGCAAUUGAGACCUGGUGAGGACCUGAAGGCAGAAAAAGGAGCUUCCUUUCUGGGGGAGGAGGAGGAAGCUGCUUUCCUCCAGAUGUGAGCCUCUGGGGAAGCUGCAGACCAAGGAACUCAUCCUGGGUAGCAUGGAGGUAGUGCUCCCUCUGGGUGGUGUGAGAGAUGGAUCUGUGUCAAUGGAGCUCCUCCUGGACUUAGAAAAGCGACAGCAGGACCCUGCCAUGUAAAAAAUGAAAUUCUUUGGCUCAGCCCAGUGCGUGGUGUGCACAGGGCUGUAACCCAAUCCCGUCGCUGGAGCCAAGCAUCCAGGGCAGGUGGCCGGCUGCUGGCUGUGUCCCCUCGCUGGGACAUGGUGCAGGGCUCUGUGCUGCAGGAUGACAGGGCUGAGCACACGGCUGUGGCAGGAAAGGGACCAGCUCCCACCUCUCGAAGCCAUUGCUGGAGGACAUCUCACUCCCCUGGGGACGGAGGUGCAGGUCAGUUUUAUUACCCCAGGACUACUCCAAGGCUUUGAGUAUCCAAGGGAUGAGAUAUGCUCUAAUUUACUCGAUUUUACUGUAUUUUUGGUAGGGCUGUUGAUCAUUGUAGUCCUUUUCAACGCAGGCCAUUCUAUGAUUCUAUGAUACUGCAUUGUAUUGGGCAGAAGUUCAUCAGGCUUUCUGCUUUCUUUGUGCCUGGGCAUUUUCAGGACUUCUCCAUAUCUCAUAUAUGCUCUUCCCAUUCCCCUCCUGCUUGCAGCUCCCUGAUCAGUGGCUUAGCAAAGGACUGGGCCAGCAACGAGCAGCUCAGCAUUGAUCCUCUAUCAGCAUGCUGCUCCUAAAGCCAAAGCAAUGGCAAACUCCAUGGCAGCAGUACUUUAUCAGUACUUUAUCAGCCUGAUCCCUCUCUUCUGUACAUGGGGAGAAAAGAAUAAAUCAGCAAGCUGAGAGGGUGGAACUUUGCAAUCUUUCCAUGGUUUUUUUGGGGGGAGCUUUCUGCUGAGUGUGCAUUGGUUUUGCUGAACAAUGGGGUGAGCAGAGCCAUUGGUUGUCCCUGCGAGGAGCUCUGCAUAUUGUGGCCUGCAUGCUUUUGGCUUAUUUCAACAUUGUGCAUGUCAAAUGUGAUACUCCAGAUUUUCCUGGCUGCCUUUCAAACGCCUCUCACCUUUACAAGGGACUGGCAUUAAACCGUGCAAGGAUGCAGCCCUGCGUGUGUUCGAAGAGUUCGCUAAAGCCCUGUGAAUUUACUUUGUUUUCCCAGAAAAGGAAAUGACAAAAACGCAGAGAUAUUUAAUGACUUCAAGUGCAAAUGAGAAAACAUUAAAAGGAAAAAAUAUAUAUAUCUAAAAAAGUCAAUGUGUACGGGCUAGCCAAAGCCAAGCAGAAACAUCACAGCGUUGCAGCUGGCAUGACGCAUCAAUGGGUUGAUGGUUGGACCUAAUGAUCUUAGAAGACUUUUCCACCCAUAAUUAUGAUUGAUUCUGUGAUUCUGUAAUUCCAUGACAAUUCUAUGAUUCUAAGAUCUGAGGGCGCUGUGUGCAGCUCGGUUCUGCUGUCCCAUGGACACACAGUUGGAAGAAGAACACUCAGUUCUGCAGACCUCCAAAGGGCAGGAAAUUGAAACUCCUGUGUGUAACCAUGUAUAAGUGGUGGGAAAAAAAAAGAAAUAAAUAGGUCAGUGGCAAAAAGGGCACUAAAAAGGGUGUACGUAUAUGGCAGCACUGAAAGAACAGUGAACCCAAACCAGCGAAACCUCAGCAGUUGUUUUGUCAGCUUGCUCGAGCUGUGCAUUGUUACUCUCUUUGAGGUCUAUGCACAGAGAGAUGCAAAUGCAUUCUGGAGCGGAUGCUUUGCAUCUCCAAUUUGCAUAGUCAGCUCUGUGCAAAGACAGGGGGCCUUACUAUGGCCUUGGAGUAGAGCAGUUCUGCACAGGGAUAGGUAGCAAUGCAGCUCCAACUUGCAGGGAGAGGUGUGUUUGCAUACAGAGGUUUUUUGUAGCAUUUCUACCCCUUGCUUGUGUAUUCAAAGCAAACUGGGAGCAUUUUGCAGUGUCAACUUGAAAGAUGACUUUGUCAUCUUGGCGAGGUGAUACAGUGAUCUUGGAGGCUACUUGAAUUUGAUUUUGCUGAGGUUUUAUUGCGUUUUGCUUAAUUGCUUCUGUUUUAUUGUUAAUGAGACAAAGAGCAGUUUGUAGAAUAGCUUGAGGAGUAAAAUUAUCCAGGAGCAGAGAUGAAAUGUGAAUGUUAGAAGUUGCCUUCCAUUGUCUGUGCUGUCUUUAAACUCCUCAUUUGGUUUUGUUCAGUCCUGCAAACCUGGAGGCGACAUCACUGCCCCAUCUGUGUCCUGCAAGGACAUCCUUGGGGCAAACCCUGCACCUGGCUGCAGGGUGAGUUCCCCAUGGGGAGGAUGGGCCAUGGUCCAUGCUCUCUCUUGGUCAGACACCCCUGCAGUCCAGUUUAUUACUUUCUCCAGUCUGAAAAGAGCAGACUUGCAACCUUCUUGCAGAGCUUUCAGAGUACCCUUAAGAAGCAGAACCAUACAGGAGUGAUGUAGUCUGGUGUGGGGUCCAAACCUUGGGUGGCAAAAACCUGUGGAUGUAAAACACUGAGGAAUAUUCUGCAAUAGGGAUUAAUCUUAUAAUUACACGCAGCUACAGUUCAUUGCUGGUGGGAUAAACCCAGUCCUGCCAGGUGGGCAGCCAGGAGCCAGGACCUGGGACUCCCAGUGCAUCACUGUAGGGUGAAAUGAACACUGUUGGGAUGAGCUUGCUUUCAUUUUGGUCAUUGCUAUAGGGUCCAUUUUUUGCACUGACUGCUAAAAUCACUGCUGCGUAAUGUGGAUGCAGACGAUGUGCUCUGCCUGCAGCACCGGGCUCUGGGGUGGGGGGGGUGCAUUUGCAUGGGACUUCACAAGAUCUGUGCAGUAAUGAGCAAAAUGAGUCUGGUCUCCUACGCAUGCAAAGCAACAGCUUUGUGACCUGGGCUCUAUCUGACUGCUGCAGCUCUGAGGCUACAAUUAUAUCCGUAAACAGAUGAAGCCAGGGUCAAUCUUUUGACCCCAAGGACUAAUGGCAUGGGGACAAGUUGCUCCAUGGGUGUCCAGGCUUUGCGUGCGGUCUUGCAGAAGGGCAACCUUUGCCUUGAAGCGCCAUUUCACUUCUCACCUGCUGAAAUUACCUGGGGCACACAGUGUACCUGGGUUUUGCUUUUACGUUUCCGUUACCCACCAGUUAGCUGGUUGGAUUUAGCACAAAUGGAGAAGUGAGUGGGCAGCAAGAUUGCUGAGCCAUGGCUCUGUGCAUCCAGGGCAGGAAGGAGAGGCAGUUCAUCGAUAAGUCAGGGGAGGGUCAAGGGAAACCAUUUUCAGCUGAUCUCUACAAAGCUCGCUGGCCAGGAGACCAGGGGCUGUGGGAUUGACUCAGACCUCAUUCCCCACUGAUUCACCCUGCAAUUAUGAGAUUGAGCAGAAAUCGUAAACUCCAUCUGAACUGUAGUUGUCCUUUUCUUUUCUUUUUUUUUUCUUUCUUUUUUUUUUUUUCCCCCCCACUCCUGUGGUUUGAAACUAUGUAGAAACGUUUUGGAAGGUUUCUCAAUGCAUGAGUUUAACCCUAAGUCUCAGCAGGGGGAAGGUAUUAUCAGGGAAAGGCAAUUACUGCUUUAGCUGGAUGCAAGUCACAUUACCUUUGGAAAGAACCACCCUCUCGCCAAUAGCUGGCUUCCCAUUCAGGGUUUGGCAGGUCUGGAGCACUGAAUUCGGAUGAAUUUUGAAGGAAUCAUUACACAGCAGUAGUUUCGAAAUAUUAGCUCACUAAUGACUUCUUUGCACCGAUGAGUGCGUGAGAAGUGAAAGCAGCAGAGAUUGUUACAAUCCUCGGGAGGGACGUGAUGGUGAUGCACGUAAUCCCACUUAGCAGUCACCAGUGCUGAAUGGCUCUUAAGGGUCAUCUUAAAAAUUGGGAAAAAACUCCAUUUUCUUGAGUUUUGUGUGCGAGAAAACAGGAUUAGGUACAUUACGAAUGCAAAAAAAAAGCCCCUUCUGGGAUAUAUAAGAGUGGUGUGUUGGCAUUACCUUCCUGUCUGCAGGAACUCAACUUCAAAUCUCAGUUGUCCUUAAUGAUGGAAGUGGCGUUACUGCAGUCUCCUGCUCCCAAGCAUGUGUUUGUGGUGACAUGGAGCAGCCGUGGGCUGCCCACUGCUCUGCCCAGAGGUCAGCAGUGUGUGGGGCAGAGCUGUGUGCUCUGGGGUAGCACAACCCUGUCUUGCCUUCUGCAUCUGUGGGACCAGGAGGAAGGGAGCUCUCAGACGGUGUUUUCCUUACCUGGGUUUGUGGGGCAGAAAGCCUCUCUCCAUGCUGCCCAUUUUCCAGUGGUGGUGCUCACUAGCUGCAUUAAUGAACUCUGUUUCAAUUUGGAUGCGGUAGCGGAAAAAAGAAAAACUGUUUUAAGCUAUGGAAGUCAUCAUUUGUGCAUGCCUUGGGAGCAAAGCGCACAGCUGUUUUCCUGCUGGUACAGGUGCCCAUGCCUGCCCAGGUUGGUAAGAAGGGGAACUGCUGAAGCCAUGUGGGUUAGGAGCAAAAGUGAACCAAUACAGCAUUCAAUCCUUGAGUUUUUAAUGAGCAGACAAAGUCUCCUGGAGGUCUCCCCGUCUGUUUCUAGUUACGAGGAUACUUUAUCUCUGCAGGUCUCUCCCUUCCCGUAGUAUCCGAGGGCCUCACGGACACUCAUGGAUGACUCACAUCACAUCUGCAAAAUAGGGAAGUAUCCCCAUUUUAGAAGCGGGGACUAAUGCGGGUUGUAGAUGUAUGACUUGCCCAGUUUCACACAGGAAACAUGUAACUGAAGUGGGAAUUGAGCCCAAGUCACAUGAGUUGAGCCCUGGAUUGCUGUCUGCCCUUGGCGAGCCCAAAGCAGCUCAGCAGAUGUUGUAUGUGUGGAAUUGGUUUGAGAAGCAGGCGCAUUCAUCCAGAGGUUGUAGCUGUAAAUGUGAAGCUGCUGCUGCAUGCGGCAGGGUCAGGAUAAGGUGGGAAACCCAGCAAUGAGCUGGAGGUGAAGUGAGAGGAGAGGGGGCUGAAGAUGGAGCCCAGCCCAUGGGGGAUGUGCACUUACGGAUACCCUCAUGCUGUCCCCGAGGAGCACAUUUGCUUUAUACAGAGCCUGUUUGCAUUAAUCCCUGCUGGACGUGCCUUUCUGCAGCAGUGCUUAUAUGCAUCUGCUCUACUUCGCUUGCAUCUAGUGAGCAUGUCCCCUUUCUUCUGUUAGUGUUUCCUUUGUCUGCUAUGAUGCGUGUCACUGAGCACGUCACUGGGACUCACAUCUGGAUAAACUGUGGCUUGUGGAAGUGCUGGUGGGUGCAGUCCCUUCAUCAGUCCUGGGUAUUAGCAAGAAACAUGUGUGACUUUCCUCUUGGUACAUGGAGCUCAGCAUUGGGUCUGUCCAACUGGUGGCUCUUCAGCCAUAAAGCGUGACUCUGAAGGUGGAAGCAGAGCCCUGGUCUUGCUCUCUUCUCUUCUGUUCCGUGCAGAUACUGAUGCUCUAUGAGUGGUUUGAGUUGUGCUGAGCCAUGGUUGGGUUUUAGGAUGCAAAGCCCCAGGGGAGGAGAAAUUUCAGCCUUCUCCCAGACAAACAAGGGUUCAUUGCACUAUGGUUUGUGGUAGCUGCAGGUCUUCAGCGGUGCUUAUAACUCUUCUCCAAACUUGUUUCCACUUUGGACUUGGGAUUUGGGAGGAGACAGGGUUGUGCUCAGGCAUUGCCAUGCCACCCAUCCACUGCUUCUUCCUGAGCUUCUGGGCGUUGGGAUGGCAAAACAGGAGAGCAAAACUGAGCUCUGAAAAAAUGACCUUUCUCUCAUUGCUGUGCUUGGGCACGCUCCUCAACUGAUAGGAGGCUGCUUGCCUAAGUGUUCAGUUGUCCAGACUUAUUCUCAAUUAGAUAUUUACACAGCCCCUUACGGAGGCUAUUUUUGAGGAGGAAGAGAAUGGAUGGGACUGGGCAGCUCUGAAUAACAUGGGCAGGUCUGUGGUACAGGGCUCGGAGGGAUAAGGAAGUCACAAUCCAGAGCUGGACACAGCACCAUUAGCAGUCAAUGUGGCAGCGACUGAAGGCAGGCUGGGGGUUGUGGCAAGAGUGAAGCCCAUUUAAAACUUUGGGCACAGUAAUCAAAAUUUGCCACUGUUCUCUGUUCUUCUGUGUUUCAGAGGAGCUGUGACCACACAGACAAGGAAGAGCUCUGCUUAGUUCUGCCCAUGCCUUUGCUGUUAUUGUGGGUCUGAGCCCUCCUGCUGCAGGGUGGGUUGCACAGUGCCACUGAGCAUAGGAUUUGGUGAUGGGCCAUUGCCUUGGAGUAACAGUCUGUUCUUCCAUGGGAUUGCAGUGGUCAUGUCUGUGGAGGAGUCAUCUUUUUCUUUGCAUGCAAUGUAUGCAAAGAUGAUUUAGUGGAGGGUUGUUAGACUUUGGGCAGUAUGGUUGGGUUGCAGUUGGACUUGAUGAUCUUUAAGGUCCUUUCAAACCUGAGUGAUUCUGUGAUUAUGUGCUCAGGGUUGUUUUUCAGAAUGCAUCUGCACUUGGGAUCUUGCUUCGCCUAAGCCUGACCCCUGUGCAGAUCAAUGCAUUCAUGUUAAAAGCUCAAUGUAAGGUAAGUAUGGAGGAACUCAAUGGUUGAAUGAAGUGGAGGUUGUCUAAAUGUGUGCUUGCCAAUGUGUGGUGUCCACAGAGGAGGAGAAUCCAUAGCAAUGUGUUCCAGCAGUGUGCACAUCACCAUCAGGGUGAACUUGCUGCAGGAGGUGAGUGCAGUCACCAAGGGCAUCUCCAGCUGUUGGGACUCUGUUUGUGUACUGUUCUGGUUACCAAGCAAUCUUCUCCAUCAGGGCACCUGAUGUAACCCUGUGUGUUCACUGCUGAGAUGGCAUUUUAAUAUCCAAGCAUUAUGAUUUCAACGUGCUCUUUCUUUUACAG